AUUUAACCGAAGCAAAAGAUGCCAAUUUACAGGAAAAGAAGGGCAUUGAUGAUUUGGCAUUGGUGUGGAGCAAACACGAUUCUCGGGAUCUAGCUAGUAAAUAUGAAGUACUUGAAAGGCUAAGGGGACCCUCUGAUCUGAAAAAACUUAAAAUUAAACGGUAUGGUGGAAAGGAAUUUCCUAAUUGGGUUGGGCAUCUGACUUCUCUAAAACGAGUGACACUUAGAAAAUGUCAUUCACUGGAGAGUUACUCCUGUCCAACUAAUAUUGAGUCGUUGGAUAUAGAAGACUGUGAUUCAUUGAGGUCAUUGAGCUUUUCUAAAAUGCAGAAGGACCUCCCAUCGUCAUCAUCAUCAUCAUCAUUCUCUUCUAAUUUGAAGAUACUUAGGAUCCAAAAUUGCGAGAAUAUUAGUUCAAUAUAUGAGGACCAUUUGCCGAGUCUUGUAUCUUUGGAAGAGAUGUGGAUAUGUAAAUGUCCAAGUAUGGAGGAUUCAUUUCCAUCAUCAUCUGGGGGGUUGUGGCCUCGUAAUUUAAGGAAGCUAACAAUUGGAGAAUUAAAGAAGCCAGUGUCAGAGUGGGGGUUGCAACAUUGCCCUACUACACUUGUUGAAUUAGAGUUAAAUGGCAGAGAUUCAGGAGUGGGUUCACUAGGAACAAUGGAAGACAAGAUUAUAAUAAUACUCUUCCACCAAAUCUUAGACAACUGAGAAUUAUUGAGUAUCAUUCACUAAAGAGUUAUUGUUGUCCAAAUAGUGUUGAGAAGUUGGAUAUAUGGAAGUGUUCAUCAAUGACAUCAUUGACAUUCUCUCGAUUGCAGGAGGACCGCCCAGCAUCUUCAUCCGCUAAUUUGAAGAUUUUUUUGAUCAAUGAUUGCGAGAAUCUUAAGUCAAUAUCUCAAGAGCAUUUGCAAAGUCUCACAUCUUUGGAAUUGAUGUGGAUACUUGAUUGUCCGAGUAUGGAGGGUUCAUUUCCAUCUUAUGAGUUACUGUGGCCUCCUAAUUUAAAGACAUUAAGGAUAGGUGGAUUAAAGAAGCCAAUGUCAGAGUGGGGAAUUCAAAAUUACCCACCUUCACUUGUUAGAUUAAUGUUAGAAGGAAAAAAUUCAGGAGUGGUUUCAUUUGGAAUAAUGGAAGAACAUGAAGAUCAUAAUAAUACGCCGCCUUCAGGGUGUUUUCUUCUUCCACAAUCUCUAACUUCUCUAGAAAUCGUUGAAUUCGAGGAAGUGGAAUCAGUUUCAGAGGUCUUACAACGCCUCCCUCACCUUCAACGACUUGAUAUUUGGCGUUGCACGAAGUUAGAUGUGCCAGCGCCAACUUCAUAUUUGGAAGUAUAUGUGCAUUAAUGUUAACAUCAUGAAUUAUUUAAAGGAUGAUCAAAGGAGAAGCAUUCUAAAGUUUCAGAGCUGUGAUGGAAAGUGUUUGCAAUCUACAUUGUGUAAUGUGUAGCUUUUCAAGAGUUGCAGAUCUGUUUAUAAUGAUUUUUAUAUUAUUGUAAAUUAUAAUCUUAUUUCAAGUUUCAACUUGACAAACUAUACAAUUGAGUUGGUUUGAUUUCUAUCAUCUAUUCAGGUGUCAUUUGAACAA